rnacentral:rRNA from 1 species
GAUGAACGCUGGCGGCGUGCCUAAUACAUGCAAGUCGAGCGAACAGAUGAGAAGCUUGCUUCUCUGAUGUUAGCGGCGGACGGGUGAGUAACACGUGGGUAACCUACCUAUAAGAUUGGGAUAACUCCGGGAAACCGGGGCUAAUACCGGAUAAUAUUUUGAACCGCAUGGUUCAAUAGUGAAAGGCGGUUUCGGCUGUCACUUAUAGAUGGACCCGCGCCGGAUUAGCUAGUUGGUAAGGUAACGGCUUACCAAGGAGACGAUACGUAGCCGACCUGAGAGGGUGAUCGGCCACACUGGAACUGAGACACGGUCCAGACUCCUACGGGAGGCAGCAGUAGGGAAUCUUCCGCAAUGGGCGAAAGCCUGACGGAGCAACGCCGCGUGAGUGAUGAAGGUCUUCGGAUCGUAAAACUCUGUUGUUAGGGAAGAACAAAUUUGUUGGUAACUGAACAAGUCUUGACGGUACCUAACCAGAAAGCCACGGCUAACUACGUGCCAGCCGCCGCGGUAA